UAUCUGGAACUAGAACAUGACGCCA
rnacentral:sRNA from 1 species